CUUCUCUUAGUUUUCGCUGUUGACUACGUGUUCAUCUAUCAUCCCCUACCAUCAGCUCAGAUGGAAUUUGGAGUGGUAUGAAGUACCUCAUACACUGAAGAACCAGCAUUUUGAAGGACCUGCAGGUGCUACCACAAGGCUCCCUAGGAGGGGAAAUCAGGAUAGCACAUCUCAGCAGAUGGGAGCAUAAAUCUGGCUAGGAAGAGAACGCAAGUGAGAAGCAUCUUGAGUCAAUCUCCUCGCAAGAUGCUCGUUGAAAAUCUGAAGAAAGGCACCCAAAACCUGUGCUAUUUGUGCUGCUCUGUUUCUGUGGAAACUGUGUGUUGAAGUGGAAUAGAAAAAGCAGAGAAAAGAGAAUGAGAGGUGAAGUGUUUUUGGCUGAAGUCCCAUUGGCCAGUCACAGUUUGAGCUGGGGUAAGUCAG